UCAUGAGUAAUUUAAAAAAUGGUCCUCCCAAUUGCACAUAGCAUUGAUUUUCAUCAACUUCCCCCCUCUAACCCACUUGAAAGCACCGUUCUACCACCUCUCAGUUCAACCAUCCUUUGCAUCUAAGCCUCCAAUCCCUCUCUCUCUCUCUCUCUCUCUCUCUCUCUCUCAAAGGACAAUCAUUAUAUCACAAAGUUCUUGACUUUCACAGAGCCAAAAAGAUUGGAGUGAGAAGGCAUUAGGCUAGAAGAGGAAAAAAGAAAGUGUCAUUUUUUGAGACAAGAAGCACACACCCAUUGUUGAGUGUGAAAUCAUGGGUUGCUCAGCCUCAAGAACCAUCACCAUAGUGGCGAACAGUAACCAAGAGGAUCCUUCUCCUUCUGCUUCUCUUACUUCUUCUUUCUCCUCUUCUUCUGCUUCACACAAUUUUAAUUCUUCACCACCAGUUAGAAGAAGAGCACUUUCUCUCCCAAUGCCUCUUGUGCACCACCCUCCCAUCAAAAAGGGUGACACACACCACCUUGUCUCACUCACCUCUACCACCUAUGGCUCACUUCUCCUCAUUGACCAAAAAGACCCCAUCUUGAGCCACAAGGACCAACCCCACCUCAAGGACCAACCCUACCUCACCAAAACCUCAAACCAAGGUGAGCCAGAACAGUCACUGUCCCCAGACUCGGUCAUCAACACUUGGGAACUCAUGGAUGGCUUGGAUGAAGAAGAUGAAGAACAACAACAACAACAACAACAUUCCCUCCACACUACCAAGCCUCCUCUCACUUCCAUUCUAGACAAACCAAGUUCAUGCAGGUACACAGCCUUUGAUGGCUCUGCAAAGAAGAAGCUCCUUGAUUCCUUUGAAUCACUGAAAACUUCGCGAAUGCAAAAGGAAAACUCUUCUUCCACAGAAUCAACAUCAACCAAGAAGCCACUUUGGCAGCACUUGUCUGAGGAAGCUUUGCUUGCCAAGUUGGAUCCAAGUGUGGCUUGGAGUUACAGGAGAGCAUUAUCAUCAAGGCAACUAGGUAGGAACACUCUAUCUAGAGAUGUUAGAUCAAUGGGGUCUAGCCCUUUGAGAUUUCCUUCUUCUUUUACAUUUGGUAACAAUAGUUUGUGCCGUUUGCCUGGCACUGAAGACAGAAUAGUGCUCUAUUGUACUAGCUUGAGAGGGAUCCGAAAGACCUAUGAGGAUUGUUGUUCAGUGAGGAUGAUACUGAGGGGAUUCAGAGUUGCGGUUGAUGAGAGGGACAUCUCAAUGGACUCAUCCUAUAGGAAGGAGUUGCAAGAUGCGCUUGGUGGCAAGGGUUUUACCUUGCCACAGGUGUUUAUCAGAGGAAAGUAUGUGGGAAAUGCUGAGGAAAUGAAACAUCUGAAUGAGUCUGGGGAAUUGGCAAGGCUUUUGGAAGGGUUCCCCACUCAGGAUCCUGGCUUUGUUUGUGACAACUGUGGUGAUGCCAGGUUUGUGCCAUGUCCCAAUUGCAAUGGUAGCAGGAAAGUGUUUCAGAAUGGAGAAGGAGGAUUGAGUAGGUGCCCUCAUUGCAAUGAGAAUGGCUUGAUUAGAUGCCCAGGUUGCUGCUCAUGAUUCAUCAAAAUUAGUCUUAAUUCCUCUUGGUCAGUUACUGAGAUUCAUUUAUGUUCUCUGAAUGACAAAUUCUUCUGAGUCAGCUAGUUACUGAGAUUCAUUUAAGGAAUUGGCUUCUCCGAAAAGAAUGUGAUCUUAUGAAGCAUGUUGAUCAAAUUUCUGACUACACGCUUGAAGAACAUGAUUAUCGACCAACCACAACACCUGAUAAGUGGCUGAGCUAUGAAGCUGUAUAGCGUGUUUUUUUGCGGCAUAAUAUGCACUUAUCAAUGAAGCUGGGCGGUCACUGUUUUCAACAGUGAAACCCAUAGAACAAACUACAAGGCAUUGGUUGAACAACUUGUGCAUCAUGAUUUUUAGCAUAUACAAAUACGAACAGAAGUUGCAAUAUGCGGGUGUUACUGGUUUUGGCGUUGUGUUUCCGUGUUUGUGCUCUUGUCAGUUUCAGCUAAAAUAGAUUGUUUUCAUCAAAGGGUCAGUUUCGUAAGACUGACCCAUCUUGCUGCAAUUGUACAGUCUUCACGUUCACGCCAUUAUUUGUGUCUGCCACUGUGUUUGAUGAAUUUCAGAAAAUAAUUUACUGCAUGCCACGAUGGGU